CCUACGGGUGGCUGCAGUGGGGAAUAUUGCACAAUGGGCGCAAGCCUGAUGCAGCCAUGCCGCGUGUGUGAAGAAGGCCUUCGGGUUGUAAAGCACUUUCAGCGGGGAGGAAGGCGUUAAGGUUAAUAACCUUGGCGAUUGACGUUACCCGCAGAUGAAGCACCGGCUAACUCCGUGCCAGCAGCCGCGGUAAUACGGAGGGUGCAAGCGUUAAUCGGAAUUACUGGGCGUAAAGCGCACGCAGGCGGUCUGUCAAGUCGGAUGUGAAAUCCCCGGGCUCAACCUGGGAACUGCAUUCGAAACUGGCAGGCUAGAGUCUUGUAGAGGGGGGUAGAAUUCCAGGUGUAGCGGUGAAAUGCGUAGAGAUCUGGAGGAAUACCGGUGGCGAAGGCGGCCCCCUGGACAAAGACUGACGCUCAGGUGCGAAAGCGUGGGGAGCAAACAGGAUUAGAUACCCGAGUAGUC
rnacentral:rRNA from 1 species